rnacentral:rRNA from 1 species
UGCAGUCGAACGAGGACCAGGUGCUUGCACCUGGAGCCGAGUGGCGAACGGGUGAGAAACACGUGACCAACCUGCCGUCAGGUGGGGGACAACCUGGGGAAACCCGGGCUAAUACCGCAUGACAUCCGCGUCCCGCAUGGGAUGCGGACCAAAGGGGGCCUCUGCUUGCAAGCUCUCGCCAGGCGAGGGGGUCGCGACGUAUCAGCUUGUUGGUGAGGUAACGGCUCACCAAGGCGAUGACGCGUAGUGGGUCUGAGAGGACGACCCGCCACAUUGGGACUGAGAUACGGCCCAGACUCCUACGGGAGGCAGCAGUAGGGAAUAUUGCGCAAUGGCCGCAAGGCUGACGCAGCGACGCCGCGUGUGGGAGGGAGCCCUUCGGGGUGUAAACCACUGUCAGGGGGGAAGAACUUCGUGGACGCGAACAGCGUUCACGGUUGACGGUACCCCCAGAGGAAGCGCCGGCUAACUCCGUGCCAGCAGCCGCGGUAAGACGGAGGGCGCAAGCGUUGUUCGGAAUCACUGGGCGUAAAGCGCUCGCAGGCGGUCCCUUAAGUCCGCCGUGAAACUCCGGGGCUCAACCCCGGACUUGCGACGGAUACUGGGGGACUGGAGACUGGUAGAGGCUAGCGGAAUUCUUGGUGUAGCGGUGGAAUGCGUAGAUAUCAGGAAGAACACCGGUGGCGAAGGCGGCUAGCUGGGCCAGUUCUGACGCUCAUGAGCGAAAGCGUGGGGAGC